rnacentral:rRNA from 1 species
CAAAAGGUGUGGUUAGAGAAAGUAGAUACAUUUGAUUCAGAUUCCUCUACGAGACGUGGAACGGUAAAAGAGUGGGUCGUUGUGAAGUUACCGCGGGGACUUCUUCGAGAAGGUAUGGAGUGAAGAGGACGAUCAUACGCGUCGGUUCCGCCGGUUGGGGCUUCGCCUUCGCCUUCGUGAAGAGGCUACCUUCAGGUGAAACCAACCGCGGUUGAGCGAUAGGAGUACCAGCUGGCGCUUAAGGUGGACGAGAACCAAGCCGCAGCGGACACUGCGACGGCCUGUGCAAUGCCUCGAGUCGGAAGGGUUGCGGCCGGAGUUGCGUUGUCAGAACAACCGAGGUAUGGAGCGAGUAAGAGGUCCGAGGUUUUGGAGUUCCGUGACGCCGAGAGACGUUUAUUAGAGUGUCCUCCUUAGGGCCUCCUCGACCCCUACUAUAGACCCAACCCCUUAGAACAUGACAUGCCGUUAGGGGAACCGCCCAGCUAGGGUCGUAGUGAGCCCGUCGAAGUCAACGAUGUAUACGAGGUGUAUGUUUUGCGAUCAGACCAAAGGUGAGAAGGUGGGCUCGACCCCUUGGAAUGAUCAGAAUUCAUGUACUAGGACAGUGUCUUAGUCAAUAUACCUUCAAACGGUGGUAGAAAACGGUCCUAUGUUUGUAACAAUAAAAAAGUGUACGUACCUUUAUUAUAGUUACCAUCGUAGGGCAGUCUCUACAAAUGUUUAACAUGGUUCGAGCUCGCAAAGUAACAUAUACCUUUGAACAAUUGACCUUCGUAGAGUAGCGUAUAGUAGUUCACGUUCCUCGAGCUCAAAAAACUACCUAGGCCUUUGGAAAAUUGACCUUCGUAGGGUUCCCUCUAUCCCUCGUACGCUUUGAACGUCCGUAACAAGAACACCCUUUUAGUGGAAUGACCUUAAUACGGUAGUCUAUAACCAUUACGUUGUAGAAACUUUAAGGAACUGCAGUCGAGGUUGGUAGAUCUCCCACUCGAAGGAUCUUGAUAGAGGAACGACCAUUUAGAACAACGAGAGUCGAACAGACCGUUGUUCAAAUGCCCAUGGUAAGGAUUAGGACUGUCGUUCGUCAACGGUCAACAGUUCUAACGGUUGCCAUUUCUGUUACCGUCGAAGAGCCCUCUUAGUGCCAGACGGUAAACACCUAACUGUGAAGACGUCGAGAAUCUAGAUAGUUUGUUACUCGACAAACCUCUAAAGGACCAACGGAGACCUUAAACUUUCUAAAUGUUCGGAACCUAAACAGUCCGUUACGAAAACGACCCCUUUAAGGUUGGAGUUGAAAGUUGUUGAGAAGUGAUUCCAGUGACGUUAACAGUCCGUUGAUGAAGUGUCCAACGAAAGGUCGCCACAACUUCUUGAAUUUUUCGGAACAACAAAACCUAGAGUCAUUGUUAUUCUAAAGGCCACAUUAAGGAGGUACCUAUCCCCUUUCGUUUGGAAGCAACUCCUAAGAGUACGAUGCCCGUUUGUACAAGAUGCCUUCAUAAGGAACCGUCCUCGAUAGUGAGGAGGGGGCAGAGGUUGACGAACUAGAACGACUUUUAUUAAAACAUCCAAGGUAUGGUCUUUCAAACCAGUUGAAGAGGAACUACCCUGUCUGAAAACACUACGUUGGUCAACAUUGUUUGUAGUAUCAUGAAUGGUUGAUAUCUAUAAUAAUAAAAAUGUUACCGUCGUACCUGUAUUAAACCUUCCCUGCCCUCAUGUGAAAAUUCCCUUCUGUACGGAAACACUGACCAUAACUAGAGAGACCAUUAAGAGAUAGGCCACUCUAGGGAAGUCUCAAUUGUUCAGAGUUUCCGUACGUCAAAAACUUAUAAAGUUCUUUAUUGGAUAGACCAUCAUAGGGGUUCCUGUAACCGUUGGAUUUCAAUAAUCUCAGGGAACUGGAGAGAACCUUGUUUAAUUGUCCAGUAUAAGGAGGAUCACAGAGUUUGGACUGCAGGGAAUGGCAAGAGUUAGAGGGUUGUUGGAAGACAGACCUCUCUAUGGAUGUCCUUCAGUCGAGGUUUGUGAACUCCUGGGUAGCUAGAUGUCGUUAUUAGAACCUGAAACACCGGGAGGUAACUCGUAAGGUACGUGUUUGUUAAGCUCAUCAUGUCUUCGUCAACUACCGCUGGUACUUGUACUUUGCCACACCGACAUGAUGAGCCACUAACGACCUUGACAGAAGCCAAAGACCCAUACCAAACCUCGUAACAAGAAGACGUUCUAGACCGCCAAACGCAAGAAGUCAACGUAGCUACGGUACGUCGUCUUUCAACACGUGUUCUACUUCGUAUGGACUGACAUAAAUACUGUGAAUAGACGAAGGGUCAAGGGUGAUAUAUUCGACGUCGAGAAACAAAAGAAUGUGGUUAUUAGACGUUCAUAUACACGAACAUCACGCGAUCUAACGGAACACGCAUCAACAUACUACACUGGUUACAGGUUGGCUUAACGUAAUCAAAAAUAAGAAACUUAAACACACGAAAGGAUGUUACCGUAAGGUAUCCUAAAAAC